AUUGAACGCUGGCGGCAGGCUUAACACAUGCAAGUCGAGCGGAGAUGAGGUGCUUGCACCUUAUCUUAGCGGCGGACGGGUGAGUAAUGCUUAGGAAUCUGCCUAUUAGUGGGGGACAACAUUCCGAAAGGAAUGCUAAUACCGCAUACGCCCUACGGGGGAAAGCAGGGGAUCUUCGGACCUCGCGCUAAUAGAUGGGCCUAAGUCGGAUUAGCUAGUUGGUGGGGUAAAGGCCUACCAAGGCGACGAUCCGUAGCGGGUCUGAGAGGAUGAUCCGCCACACUGGGACUGAGACACGGCCCAGACUCCUACGGGAGGCAGCAGUGGGGAAUAUUGGACAAUGGGCGGAAGCCUGAUCCAGCCAUGCCGCGUGUGUGAAGAAGGCCUUUUGGUUGUAAAGCACUUUAAGCGAGGAGGAGGCUACCUGGAUUAAUACUCUAGGAUAGUGGACGUUACUCGCAGAAUAAGCACCGGCUAACUCUGUGCCAGCAGCCGCCGUAAGAC
rnacentral:rRNA from 1 species